UGCAUGGAGCAGACAAUGUUUAAUUUUGACUCUUUUCCUUUCAUGACCUCACAAAAUGAGUUCCUAAAAAAUGGAGCCUGAGCAUUUGCUCAAUCAUAGCAACCAACCAAAAGGAUUCUUCUUAGUACCUGUGAACUAGAAUUCUAUUUGCUUUUUCUUUUGUUGGUUUGUUUGAAUGACAAAUUUUACAUGGGAAUGACAGUUAAAAUGGUGUUGCAAGAAGAAAACUGUGACCAUUUUUACCUGAAGAAGGGAAAACCAGCUGCCAAGUGUACACUUUACACUGACAGAUGCUACUUGUGAACUGGCUGUCUUUACCUCCAUCUGAACUAAGUCCUAUGGUUUGACUAAAAACAGAGAGGAGUGAGUCUGAACACCCCUCCUACAGGAAAACCUGCAGAGCAGCAUAAUGGGAAAACAUUUAUCCAUCCUGAAAUUAAAUACACAUGGGAAAACCCCAAGUUCCUCUACAGUGAAAGUCAGUGUGGAAAAAAGGAUUUACCCAUACAGAUUAUGUGGAACUGGAUUCCAAAUAUAUUUGGCAGUGUGGAUCAGCUCCACUGAUGUGACCAGAUUGUAAGCAAGUCUGCAGACAUGACAGAGGAAAGUCAUCGAGUUUGGAGAUGCUCCUCUCUACCAUCAGAAAAAGUCAUCUCCUGUGUGCCUGCAUUGUUCACGUAUCAGAGAUUUAGUCAGAAAACUCAGUGUAACAGAUGGCUGGAGACCUUAGACUGCAUGAGAUGAGUUUUAAGAAAGGCCAGUCUGGGCCAGAACACCGAAAGAUAAAAGUUAUAAAGUGUAAUAGUACUGGAAAACAAAGAAGAGGGAUAUAGUCUAUAGAAUAUAAGUAUAAUCUGAUGCAAAUGCAACAAUAAAAAAUAAGAAAAGAGGAUUAAUGAAAUUUUUUAGUACAAGAAUAAGAGAAAAUGAGGCGGAAAGGUAAACCUUCAAAGAUUGGAAAAAAAAAAUUUACUAAAAAGUGAAGGUUGAAUUUAUAUUUGUUAUCAUUUACAUUGAUUUAUUAAUAAAAAAUUUAAAAAGUGGAAAGAAAAGUAUGUGAAAGGUGCACAAGGUUUUAAAAUUACUUUUUUCAGCAUUUGCUCAAAAGCAGUUUCCUCCUAGUUUAAUUACACUUUGAAAUCUCAAACUUUGUUAGUAAUAUAACAUCCAUAUUUAGGCAUCAUGGUUCACUGUUAGGAAAAGGUGAAUUUUAAAUCAUGUAGUAUAUAUCCUAAUUUGCUUAAUGUGUUUUUAUCUCUUAUGAUCAUAUCAUCUCUGAUUCAAUUAGCUCAGUGGUGACUCCUCAGUUUUACUGCAAUAGGAUUUCUCUAUCUGGCAUAUCUGAUAUGCAGAGGAGUUACCUCCUGUCAUUUCAUUCAGAGAUAGAUGGAAAUGCUAAUUUUCUAGGGAGGAAAUCUUUGUCUGCAGAUUUAUUAGUAAUAUGACUCCAAAUCAUCUUACAGGUGUUUUUCAGUGGUGAGGUUAGACUCCAUUUCAAUCUGAUAAGGCAUUCCUAAUAAGAGGAAAUUAAGUCAGUACUUGCAGAAAGAAUAAAGUGCCAUAUGUCCUGACUUUUCAUAAUGAUCAUUAAAUCCCAGAAGGAUAUGUACACAGGACAGGCAGUUCUGAGAAAACAAAGAAAGUCUUCGUAAAGCAGUUACAGUUUUCUAACAGCUAAUUAGGAUCAAGAUAUUAAGUAUGCUGGUUAAUAUGAGAAGAGAAAAAAAUCGUGCCUGUAAGCAGAGGGUUCUACAAACUGAUCCCUUCUCCAGUAGUGGGAAGUUUAUUUUUAUGCAUGAGCGUAACCAAGUAUGAUACAAAUUAGAACAUUUUAAAAUAUAAUCUGGAAAAAAAAGGGAAUUUUUGUCCCAUGCUAUGUAAUCACACUCCCCUCUACAAAAUUUUUAUAAAGAUUUCCAUCCACUUUAAAAAAUUAGAUUAAAAUAGAUUAAAGUUUUACAAGUCUUACAAACCUUAUUUGUAAGCAGUGUGACAUAAGCAGUUCAGGCACUGUAAGUCACCUAUUACUUAAAUGUGAAGAACGAAAUAUUCCAAGUAUAUCUAAGAAUUUCAUACUUAUUUCAUAUUUAUGAAAUUAUAAACCACAAAGGCAUUGACAUUGGUGUCAAUGUGAGAUUUCUACAAGGUUUUAAUGUUACCUAUAUAUGUGAUCAGAUUCUGUUGUCUUUUAGUGACAUAUCUAUGAAAUAGAGAAUCACUUUUCUCAAGUGACUCUCCCUUACCGCAGCCAGUGUUCAGCCAGUGUGUUUUAUAUAAUAUUUGUAUACAUGUUACAGUUUAAUAUUAAAAGAACUAUUAGAAAUCUGUGCUUUGAAAUGCAAUUUAGUUUUGCUGUUUAUAUUGAUAACUGAAAAAUGGUACUGUAUUUCAACCUAGUAACAAUUUAUAAAGGAGUAGAAAGAAAAUGGAAAUAUACAUUUUAGGGAAACUCAAUUCCACUGCAUACUCCAAAGCAGUACAAAAUUGUGCAUUGUGGAAAAAUUUUUAGUACAGGUAAAUAUAAAAACCCUACAAACACUGGGAAUAUUUUUUUCACAUUUCUGUGAAGCACAGACUGCAAAUGUGGCAUAAAUAUAACUUGAAAAGUGUAAAGGCAAACUUCAAAACUCAAUGAUUUUAGUUUUAAGCAAGAGUAAAAUUUGCCAACACAAACAUUAAAAAACCCCAAAUAUGCUAUGAAAAUAUACAGGCAACUGUGUUAAUCCAUUUUGUGAGGCUAAAGGCUAUUGUAGAUGCUUAAACUCAGAGAAAGUUACUCAGAAGCAUAGGAAAACACAGUAGUUCUCUGAAAGAAAAACGCCUUCCCUUCUUUUUGGAAGACCCGUUUUUCUCUUGGAAAAUAAACCAUGUAUUUUAAAGAGGCAUAAUGGUGCUAUUUAUCUUUAAUUUAUUUUAUUAUGAAAACACUAUUUGGAGAGAGAUUUAUUAACAAAAAAAUCACAUUUUCUUCCCCCUAAUUAGCUCUAACAACAAAUUAAAGUUUAUAGUCUCCAGGAAAGUACAGUGUAUAUGUGAAUCAGGAUGAUCAAGUGGUGCAAUUAUUUUUUCUAUUUAGAUCAUUACUUAUUUCUAGUUUAGAUUCAAAUUUUGAAAACUUUCUAGUUAGAAUUGUAUGUGACAGAAAUAAUUUUUUAGAGCUUUUAUACUCUCAUCACCAUUGAAUAAUCAAGCAGUUUAAUGAGGUCUUCAGCACUGGAAUGUCUAAUUUUAAAUUUGAAGAGAAGAGAAUUGUAUUUACACUGGUCAUGAGCCUCUGGAAGAGAAUUUAGACCUUGAUAAUUUUUUAGUCAACAAAAAAUGAAAUAAAUCAAUUAAAAACUUUUGACUAUGAAACUCUGGCUUUGGGUCAUUCCCAGCACCAUCUUGUGUGGAC